GGUUACGUUCAUACAACACCGAAUGUGCCGUAUCUCAUUCCGAAUUGCGAAGCCAAAUGGUGUUUGGCCCUGUUCAGUACUCGGGAGGGGGACCACCGGGGAACCGCAUGGUGAUGUAACCU
rnacentral:rRNA from 1 species